rnacentral:rRNA from 1 species
ACGAACGCUGGCGGCGUGCCUAAUCCCUGCCAGGAGAACGCACAGUUUAUACCGUAGCUUGCUACACCAUAAACUGUGAGUUGCGAACGGGGGAGUAACGCGUAGGUAACCUGCCUGGUAGCGGGGGAUAACUAUUGGAAACGAUAGCUAAUACCGCAUAAUAUUGAUUAUUGCAUGAUAAUUGAUGGAAAGAUGCUAUUGCAUCACUACCAGAUGGACCUGCGUUGUAUUAGCUAGUAGGUGAGGUAACGGCUCACCUAGGCGACGAUACAUAGCCGACCUGAGAGGGUGAUCAGCCACACUGGGACUGGGACCCGGCCCAGACUCCUACGGGAGGCAGCAGUAGGGAAUCUUCGGCAAUGGACGGAAGUCUGACCGAGCAACGCCGCGUGAGUGAAGAAGGUUUUCGGAUCGUAAAGCUCUGUUGUAAGAGAAGAACGGGUGUGAGAGUGGAAAGUUCACACUGUGACGGUAUCUUACCAGAAAGGGACGGCUAACUACGUG